rnacentral:rRNA from 1 species
UACAGAGGGUGCGAGCGUUAAUCGGAAUUACUGGGCGUAAAGGGUGCGUAGGUGGUUGAAUAAGUUAGGUGUGAAAGUCCUGGGCUUAACCUGGGGAUUGCGCCUAAUACUGUUUUACUAGAGUACUGUAGAGGAAGGUGGAAUUUCCGGUGUAGCGGUGAAAUGCGUAGAUAUCGGAAGGAACACCAGUGGCGAAGGCGACCUUCUGGACAGUGACUGACACUGAGGCACGAAAGCAUGGGUAGCAAACAGG